ensembl:snRNA U6 U6 spliceosomal RNA
GUGCUCACUUCAGCGGCACAUAUACCAAAACUUGAAUGAUAAAAAGAAGAUUAGCAUGGCUACUGAGCAAGGAUGACACAAAAAUUCGUAAAGUGUUCCUUAAAAAA